rnacentral:tRNA from 1 species
UGUUAGCUCAGUUGGCAGAGCAAUGGACUCUUAAUCCAUGGGUCGUGGGUUCGAGCCCCACACA